AUUGCAGAUACACUGGUGUCUGUAUUAGUCACAGAACAGGAGUCGAGGAUAUGAGGAAGAAGCAGCCAUGCGAAAAAACUUGAAGCUUUUGGAAAUCUUGAGAGUCCUCAAGGGAGGCACAGCAGCUUGAAGUCCAGGAACAAUCUGGAUGAUAUGGAAUAAACAUUACCUUUAAGACGCGACACGUCCAAAAAGAUAGAUUGAAAACUCCUGCUUUCCAGUACAUCUUUAAAAAAUAUUAUUACUGAUACAGCUUUAUCGGAAGACAC